rnacentral:ncRNA from 2 species
CUCUUAUUAAGAGCGGCGGAGGGACUGGCCCAAUGAAGCCCGGCAACCUUUCAAUUUUUUGUGAAAAGGUGCUAAUUCCAGCAAGAUUUCAGUUUACGAAAUCUUGAAAGAUAAGAG